rnacentral:rRNA from 1 species
UACGCUGUAAACGAUGCGCACUAGGUUCGAGGACCCCUGACGGUAUUCGAGCCGAAACAAAAGCGAUAAGUGCGCCGCCUGGGGAGUACGGCCGCAAGGCUAAAACUCAAAGGAAUUGACGGGGGGCUCACACGAAGCGGUGGAGCAUGUGGAUCAAUUCGAAGCAACGCGAAGAACCUUACCUGGGUUUGACAUGCACGGAUGGUCUCGGGGGAAACCUGAGUAAUCUGCCUUCGGGUGAAACGUGCACAGGUGCUGCAUGGCUGUCGUCAGCUCGUGCUGUGAAGUGUCGGGUUAAGUCCCUUUAACGAGCGAAACCCUUAUCGUUAGUUGCCAGCGGGUCAUGCCGGGAACUCUAGCGAGACUGCCGGCGUUAAGCCG